UCUCUCCACCCCCUCUCUCUCUCCCUCCCUCUGUCUCUUUCUCCCUCCCUCUCCCUCCCUCCCUUUCAUUCUAUCACAGAGUGUUGUCAUUACAUCGCAGACUCCUGUGGCUCUCGCCUCGACUUCUGGUAGAGGUAGUUUUAUCACUUACACAUUCUGUAAUAGCAGUGUUGUACUACUCAGGGCUGUCAAGUUGGUCAAUGUGUUCAUGAGGUGACAAGAAAAUCCAGUCGAAGUGUUGCGCAUCAUUUCUGAUCAAAUCUGUUACAUUAACAUGCUCUAUUACUUC